AGUGAACGCUGGCGGUAGGCCUAACACAUGCAAGUCGAACGGCAGCACAGGAGAGCUUGCUCUAUGGGUGGCGAGUGGCGGACGGGUGAGGAAUACAUCGGAAUCUACUCUGUCGUGGGGGAUAACGUAGGGAAACUUACGCUAAUACCGCAUACGACCUACGGGUGAAAGCAGGGGACCUUCGGGCCUUGCGCGAUUGAAUGAGCCGAUGUCGGAUUAGCUAGUUGGCGGGGUAAAGGCCCACCAAGGCGACGAUCCGUAGCUGGUCUGAGAGGAUGAUCAGCCACACUGGAACUGAGACACGGUCCAGACUCCUACGGGAGGCAGCAGUGGGGAAUAUUGGACAAUGGGCGCAAGCCUGAUCCAGCCAUACCGCGUGGGUGAAGAAGGCCUUCGGGUUGUAAAGCCCUUUUGUUGGGAAAGAAAUCCAGCUGGCUAAUACCCGGUUGGGAUGACGGUACCCAAAGAAUAAGCACCGGCUAAUUUCGUGCCAGCAGCCGCCGUAA
rnacentral:rRNA from 1 species